UUGGAUGAUAUUAUUUUAACAACAGGUGUCCCACAAACUGGUGCAUACUGUAGCUUUCGCAGUCCUUUAUAUCCUGAAACAUUUUCUUACCAGCUGCGUUGUAUAGCAUUUGUCAAAAAGUGAUGAUGCCGCCUUCAUUGCAUAAUCGUGGCCGUAAAUGCGCACAGCGUACCAGGAAAUGAACCUUGCCGGCGCAUCACAGGGGGGUAGGAUGAUGUGGAUGUAGCUGGUUAUAUAAAACUAUAGGGCACAGUUGGAAUGAGCCAGAUGGGAUGAUAGUUGUCAUUUUAAGAGUAACGAGCUUGUUGUCGGCUUUGGGAGAUGUCGCUACUGCAUGACCUUGUGAACUUGUCUGCUGCGUGACCUCAAAAAAUGGCUCCCCGAGCACCCCUUCACAUCCCUGGGUUUAUUUGCACAGGCAGUUGCCCAAGCAGGAAGUGACAUCAACGGGUCCAAAGUAAAAAUAUGUCGCAGGACGGGCUGUCUAGGAUGUCCAGGACCGGUGUUUGUAAGAGAGGAUGCCUCGCACCGGCUCCACAGAGAGUGAUGCUUACUGAGGGAUGCAGGAGAGCGCCACACAGGCGAGACAGACACCGGAGGCUGAGCUCUGUAUCAUGGCCGUCUGCUUAAAGGGAUGCUGUCUGCUAUCCAGUUAUGGCUGAGAUGGCAAUGGGAGGGGAGGGAGAAUUGGAGGGGGUGAUGGAGAGAGCUGUCUGAGGCUCCGGCAGCUCUCAGGCAAGGCGGUCUGUCUGCGGGCAUCUGCACUGGCAACCCCCCAUGCCUCCCCCAUUUUCCCAUCCACCGUCACCACGGCCACCUCACCAUCCAGUGCCACAAUUUGGCACCAACCCACGGUGGAGAGCAGUUGCUGAAGGAUGAUUCCCCUUGACCUCAGAUGUGUUACUUCACCACAAAACUUCUCCGUUUGCCCCAGUGGACAAUUAUUUUGAUAAAUGAUAUGGCUGAAUAAUGCAUUAUGGUUACAUUGGGGGAAGAACAUACUGUGGGGGGAGAGUGGCUAAAAGUUGCUUAGGGAGAGAGUGUGUGUGUGGGUGUGCACAUCUGCAUACGUGUAUGGAUGCAUAGAUUCGUAUGUGCUGUGCUGUAUCUGUAUUGUAGAGUUUAAAUGCAGCAGUUGUAGCAAUGCAUCACAAUAAAGAAUAGUAGAAUGGUUGACCUUUUCAUCCAGAGGUCACAUCUGCACACAAGGUAAAAACUCAUAUAAUGCAGAGUGGAGUUGCUCAUUUUCAUUUUAGCUUUCGAAGAAAGCAACUUUUGGUUCUGACAGGAUUUCUAAAUACAUUAAAAUAUUCUGAAGCCUACUAGAAAACAUGCGGCCACAGAUACAAUAUUUCCUGCAGAGAUAGCCUUUGAAGAAUUCAGUUUUGACUGGCUUAGACACUGCGACAGCACAGAGUAGGGGCUGACACAUCUGUUCCUGAGAAAUUCAUGGAGGUUUGGGCACUGUAGGUGUUGGUAUGCACUGAUUAGCACAAGGCUGUCUUUACCCAACCACCGGGUUUCCUACUGGGCUUCCAUAAACUGUUUACUAAGGAGUCUGUUGCCAUGGUUUUCAGCCAUGUUCCAAUCAGUCUUUUUUGACCACUCAGCUUU
ensembl:lncRNA